rnacentral:rRNA from 1 species
CUCUCGGCAACGGAUAUCUAGGCUCUCGCAUCGAUGAAGAACGUAGCGAAAUGCGAUACUUGGUGUGAAUUGCAGAAUCCCGUGAAUCAUCGAGUUUUUGAACGCAAGUUGCGCCCGAAGCCACUCGGCCGAGGGCACGUCUGCCUGGGUGUCACGCAUCGUUGCC